rnacentral:misc_RNA from 1 species
UCCGAGGUUUUCUCGGCAGUCUCGCCAGAAAAAUACAACUGGCGACAAGGGUUGCGCUCGUUGCGGGACUUAACCCAACACCUCACGGCACGAGCUGACGACGGCCAUGCAACACCUGUGCAUGCUCCCCGAAGGGUCCCUCACCUUUCGGAUCGGUACCACAUGCAUGUCAAACCUGGGUGAGGUUCUUCGCGUAUCAUCGAAUUAAACCACACGCUCCGCUGCUUGUGCGGGCCCCCGUCAAUUCCUUUGAGUUUUAGCCUUGCGGCCGUACUCCCCAGGCGGUUCAUUUAAUGCGUUAGCGCCGACGCGGAAGGGGUCGAUACCUCCCACAUCUAAUGAACAUCGUUUAGGGCUAGGACUAC